rnacentral:lncRNA from 1 species
AAGCAAGUAAAUUGCUCAAUCACCCAACUUUAGGCCGACCACAUAUGGCGUGUGCCCUAGUUGGGGGAUAGCCCAGUAGCCCCAAAUGAAAGCUUCAAGCUCAUUUUUGGAGGUGGUGCAAAGAUAUUUCACUCUAUUUUCUUCAGUGGUUUCAUUUACGAUCAUUGUCAUCUCGAAUAUCCUUAAAAACUCAACGUCAGGGAUAAUUUAAAGUCCCUUAAAUGGUGAUUCAGUACCAUUCAUACAACGAGGAGUGUGCCAAUGCUCUUAAUCAGGUUGGAUACCUGAAGUUGUUGUUAGAGAUGUGAUUUAGGUGUAAAGUUAGUGUACGUAGUACGCAUUCAUCCAGACAACUAACUUUCCCACAUUCCUACCUAAUCACGUGGUUAAUUGAAUUGGGUCACAUGUAUUAAGAAACAUGAUUCAAUUAACUCAUAUUCGAGGACAAUAUCAAUAAAAUUAUCCAUAAGUAAAGCAUACACAAAACUUGAAUCCAAGAACAUAGAAAAAUGUUCACAAAGUAAAUGGUUUACUAAGGGGAUUCGGCCAACAAGGCUAUCCAUGUCAAAAUUCCGCUCUUCCAACGGUGUUCGGUGGAUCAAAAUUAAUCUCACAUAUUAACUACUAGAAUGGUACUCCUAAACAACAUUGGUAGGGGCACGACCAUGUGCAUAACCAAUGAUCUAUUUCAUUGAUACAGAAGUAGAUUCUGUAAGGGUUGAGGUUUGAGAAUAUUAUCCCUUAUUCUUAUCACGCUUCGGGCAUGAUGCCAUGCCUUGGCAGGCCUUGAUUUUACCAUAUGUUUGUGGUACUAAUCUGAUCCGAGAAUGUGGUAAACUUUCGUUUUCUACACUGCUGAGUCUUGGGCGAGAUAGAAACAUGGAAGGACGAGAAAAGUAUUCUCUAGUCAAAAUUCGAUCGGAUUUAUAAACUUCAUAAUUGUACUCAUUCAUGGACGUAAUCAUGGUUUGCUUCAGGCAAUGUUUUUCAUGAUUAGACGGUCCAUAGAAGCAAGCCAAAGAGCCAUGGAAUCCUCGUUCGGGAGGUAUUUCCAUUUGUAAUGCUUCGGGCAUAAGUCUUCGAAUGAAGAUCAUGGCGGAGGCUU